UUAGUCAAAUUUGUAAGUCAGUUGGUUCUGUUAGGAAUUCCUAAGAUCAGGUGUUUGUUUGUUAUAAUCUUAGGAACGAGUUCCUAAACCUUCAUAGUAUAUGCUAUCAACUAGGAAUGUUUUGGAUUAAGUUCAGGACCGAGCUAGAAAACACUUGGAGGGCUGGAACAUCCCACUUCCCUUUGUUCUACUGAUGUCUGUUGAUGGAUAUUACUUUUUUGUUAAAAAAAAAAUUACUUUACUAGAAAACUAUGUUAAUGACAAGAAAUAUCUAGGUGUACGUUGAUCACUCAAAGAUACAUCUCUUCUUUAGCAAUUUGAUGUGAGGCAUGCUAUGUUCCAACUUCAGGGAAAAGGUGGGGCCUUUAUCUUCAACUAAUAUGUCCUUAAGUUAUCAACAUUUGACGAUUAGUUGGAAGACAAAGCCAUGUUACUUAAGGUGCUAUAGUUUACCGAUGGUGCCCACGAAAUAAAUCUUCACUAUCAGCAAUUAGAAUAGGAAUGUCAACUUCUUCUCUGACCAUCAUAUCAAACUCAUAUGAUAUCUACAUGCGCAAACUUGCCUUUCCUAACAACAGCUUCUUCAAGAUCCUCAGCCCAAAAAACCCUUUGCUAUUAAAUUCAAUACUUUCCCCAUUAUUUACAAAAUGGGUUCGAUGCUCUAGCUCUCCAUCACUUCUCUUCCAUGCAUAAUGGUGUUCGCAUUGAUCGCUACAGGUAUAUCUCUGUAACAUAUCUUCAUCUUGCCUUCAAAACGUCAACUUUGGUUCAAGUGAUUCACGUCCUUUUUACAUGAAUAUUCUGGUUUGCUUUUAAGCGUGUAUGUGUUCUCUGCUUUGGUUGAUUUGUUUGCCAAGUCAUUUUUUACCAAGAAUGCAGCUAUGUUGUUCGAUGAAAUUCCUCUGAAGAAUGCUGUAAGUGCAAAUGCACUAUAGUUGUUUAAUAGGCUUUUUUUUUUUUUUUUUUGUCAUGCCAGUGUAAAAUAACAACAACAAAACAACGCCUCAAUCCCAAGAAAGUUGGGGUCGGUUAUAUGAAUCCUGACUGACCAUGCCACUCCAUUUAACCUCACCAUAGACCCAUUAUCAUGCAAAUGUGUGGAAAUUAGUUAGCUAGUUCCCCUCUAAUGAGAAUGACAAGUUAAACUGUUUCUAUAUAUUGGGUCUUGCUGAGUGCCUGAAGUAAUUUUGACAAUGUUUGAACAGUAAUUUAGCUUCUCAAAGGGUACUCCAGUCGGACCUUCUAGAUGAUGUAGUUCAUUUUUUGCUUUCAAAAAUGUAUGCAAGGAAUAGUAUGUGGAAUGAGAAUGAAAAACCAAGGGAACAGAGAAGGGCCUACAGAAAGGCAGUGACAUAGCCUGGUAGACGUCACAAGAUGAGUUAAAGAUGCUGAUUUUAAAGAAACCACAUUCUCCGACUCAUGGAUUCAUGUUGGUCAGCCGAAAAUGGUUUGAGGUAUUAGUGGUGCAGCUUGAGGACUUCGGUCACUUAUGGUAUAUUUUGACAAAUGUGAUAAGGUACUCUUCUUGAUGGAAUUGGAAUGUUCAUAAUGAGGUUUGUUACACGGAAGUGCUGCCACAAGUUUGAAUUUCUAGUACGAUUGAGUAAACUGCAAAGACAGUGCUUCACCGUGCCGUAGUUUCUCCGCCUAGAAAAUGAGAGCAGUAACAGGCUGAGAACAAAUGAAUUUCUUAUCACUGCAAAACCAUUUGUAAGGAUUUCUUUUUCCCUGAGCUUAUACAAAAUGACAGCAAAAUGUAAAAAUAUCAAGGAAAAGGCAUCAUCAUUCAUUUCCAUGUUGAUCUUCAUUAUCAACUAGCACAUCUUGUGAGUUGCUCCUGUUUUACAGCUCUGCUGCCUGAUAGCAUAUAAUGAACAAACUACCCAAUGCUAGGACCAAAAAAUUUAAAGUUUUGAUUACUAAACAAUUAGAAUCAUCCAAGAAUUGAAAUAGUCAUGGACUUGCCUAAAUCAAUCUCUUAGUUUUUUCUG